rnacentral:rRNA from 1 species
UAAAUCAGUUAUCGUUUAUUUGAUAGUACCUUACUACUUGGAUAACCGUGGUAAUUCUAGAGCUAAUACAUGCUAAAAACCCCAACUUCGGGAGGGGUGUAUUUAUUAGAUAAAAAACCAAUGCCCUUCGGGGCUCUUUGGUGAUUCAUGAUAACUUAACGGAUCGCAUGGCCUUGCGCCGGCGACGGUUCAUUCAAAUUUCUGCCCUAUCAACUUUCGAUGGUAAGGUAUUGGCUUACCAUGGUUUCAACGGGUAACGGGGAAUUAGGGUUCGAUUCCGGAGAGGGAGCCUGAGAAACGGCUACCACAUCCAAGGAAGGCAGCAGGCGCGCAAAUUACCCAAUCCCGACACGGGGAGGUAGUGACAAUAAAUACUGAUACAGGGCUCUUUUGGGUCUUGUAAUUGGAAUGAGUACAAUUUAAACCCCUUAACGAGGAACAAUUGGAGGGCAAGUCUGGUGCCAGCAGCCGCGGUAAUUCCAGCUCCAAUAGCGUAUAUUAAAGUUGUUGCAGUUAAAAAGCUCGUAGUUGAAACUUGGGCCUGGCUGUCUGGUCCGCCUCACCGCGUGUACUGGUUCGGCCGGGCCUUUCCUUCUGGAGAGCCUCAUGCCCUUCACUGGGUGUGUUGGGGAACCAGGACUUUUACUUUGAAAAAAUUAGAGUGUUCAAAGCAGGCCUUUGCUCGAAUACGUUAGCAUGGAAUAAUAGAAUAGGACGUGCGAUCCUAUUUUGUUGGUUUCUAGGACCGCCGUAAUGAUUAAUAGGGAUAGUCGGGGGCAUCAGUAUUCAAUUGUCAGAGGUGAAAUUCUUGGAUUUAUUGAAGACUAACUACUGCGAAAGCAUUUGCCAAGGAUGUUUUCAUUAA